rnacentral:rRNA from 1 species
AUUGAACGCUGGCGGCAGGCCUAAUACAUGCAAGUCGAACGAGUGGCGGAGGGGUGAGUAAUGUCGGGGAAACUGCGUGACGGAGCGAGAAAAAUACUGGAACAGGUGGCUAAAACCGCAAAACGUCGUUUGGGCCGCGAUGGGAUUAGCUAGUAGGUGGGGUAAAGGUACACCGAGGAGACGAUCCUUAGCUGGUCUGACAGGAUGACCAGCCACACUGGAACUGAGACACGGUCCAGACUCCUACGGGAGGCAGCAGUGGGGAAUAUUGCACAAUGGGCGCAAGCCUGAUGCAGCCAUGCCGCGUGUAUGAAGAAGGCCUUCGGGUUGUAAAGUACUUUCAGCGGAGAGGCGUUACCCGAAGAAGAAGCACCGGCUAACUCCGUGCCAGCAGCCGCGGUAAUUC